CGCGGCCAUGAGGGUCCCGUGUCCCUCAGGGGCCCCGCCGUUCAACAUGUAUCAGCUGCAUUCUUCCUUCCUGUGGCUUCAGUGCAGAUCUGCCUCCAAAUGUGGGGACCUAAUACUGCUUCUUUCCAAGGAUUUGAACCCUGCACUUCAGAGGGAUGCAGAAGGAGCAUCAUCACCUGGCACUGGGAGAUUGAACUAUAGCCUGUCACAAGGCUGCCCUUGACAGAUAAGCCCCCAUGCCUUUUGUGUGAGAAACCAUUUCACCUGUUACUGGUGUUGGUGAAGACAAGGCCUUCCUAAUUAAAGGCUUCCAAAUGUUUCUCAUUGUGAGGUGUGAUGGAGCUGGGACCUGAUGGACCUGGGAGUGCUGCCAGCAACAGGUGAUGCUUGCAUGGAGUUUGAGAAACAAGAUAAAUGUGCCUGAGGAAGGGACUGUGCUGUGGCUGCGGCCUCACUGGGGGGAGAGGCAACUCUGAAACUAGCACAUGAAGAAUUAAGAAGGUGGAAGAUUGGAUGAAUGGGUACACUUGCAUGAACAGCAUUUUAAAAGCCAAUUUGUUUUUAACCUCACUGGUAAUGUUUGCCUGAUGUUGAUUGGAGUGAAUAAAAAUCUGUAAACUCUA